rnacentral:rRNA from 1 species
GACGAACGUUGGCGGCGUGCUUAACACAUGCAAGUCGAACGGUAAGGCCCUUCGGGGUACACGAGUGGCGAACGGGUGAGUAACACGUGGGUGAUCUGCCCUGCACUUCGGGAUAAGCCUGGGAAACUGGGUCUAAUACCGGAUAGGACCACUGCCUGCAUGGGUGGUGGUGGAAAGCUUUUGCGGUGUGGGAGGGGCCCGCGGCCUAUCAGCUUGUUGGUGGGGUGAUGGCCUACCAAGGCGACGACGGGUAGCCGGCCUGAGAGGGUGACCGGCCACCCUGGGACUGGGAUACAGCCCAGACUCCUACGGGAGGCAGGAGUGGGGAAUAUUGCACAAUGGGCGCAAGCCUGAUGCAGCGACGCCGCGUGGGGGAUGACGGCCUUCGGGUUGUAAACCUCUUUCAGCACCGACGAAGCGCAAGUGACGGUAGGUGCAGAAGAAGGACCGGCCAACUACGUGCCAGCCGCCGCCGUAA